rnacentral:rRNA from 1 species
AGUUGCGAUCAUACCAGCACUAAUGCACCGGAUCCCAUCAGAACUCCGCAGUUAAGCGUGCUUGGGCGAGAGUAGUACUAGGAUGGGUGACCCCCCUGGGAAGUCCUCGUGUUGCAACCC